GAUGAACGCUAGCGACAGGCUUAAUACAUGCAAGUCGAGGGGCAGCGCGGGUAGCAAUACCUGGCGGCGACCGGCAAACGGGUGCGGAACACGUACGCAACCUUCCCAUAACUGGUGAAUAGCCCUCCGAAAGGAGGAUUAAUACACCGUAAGAUAACGAAGAGGCAUCUCUUUGUUAUUAUAGCUACGGCGGUUUUGGAUGGGCGUGCGCCUGAUUAGGUAGUUGGCGGGGUAACGGCCCACCAAGCCUACGAUCAGUAACUGGUGUGAGAGCACGACCAGUCACACGGGCACUGAGACACGGGCCCGACUCCUACGGGAGGCAGCAGUAAGGAAUAUUGGUCAAUGGACGCAAGUCUGAACCAGCCAUGCCGCGUGAAGGAUGAAGGUCCUCUGGAUUGUAAACUUCUUUUAUCUGGGACGAAAAAAGGGCUUUCUAGCUCACUUGACGGUACCAGAGGAAUAAGCACCGGCUAACUCCGUG
rnacentral:rRNA from 1 species